rnacentral:rRNA from 1 species
UACGUAGGGUGCGAGCGUUGUCCGGAAUUAUUGGGCGUAAAGGGCUCGUAGGCGGUUUGUCGCGUCGGGAGUGAAAUCCACUGGCUUAACUGGUGGCUUGCUUUCGAUACGGGCAGACUGGAGGUAUGCAGGGGAGAACGGAAUUCCUGGUGUAGCGGUGAAAUGCGCAGAUAUCAGGAGGAACACCGGUGGCGAAGGCGACUUCCUGGCCUGUUCUUGACGCUGAGGCGCGAAAGCUAGGGUAGCAAACGGG